GAAAAUGGAAUUGCACAGCUCUACUUCAAAUCAAGGGUAAAGAUAUAUAACGGUGGUGUGUGUAUACCCGGACGGUUGCAAGGCUGAUCUUGGAAAACCACAGCGAACGUCACGUCACCGAUCUUACCGAGUCAUCAGUUCCUUCUCUGGUGAGAAUAUGCUGCCUACAAGGUUGUUUACCUGGGGAACAGAUGGCACCAGGAUACACAGGAGAAGGUGGCAAGCUGGUAGAAACAUUGUUACGCUCGGAGCAAUUCUCACUGGGGA